CCUACGGGAGACAGCAGUGGGGAAUAUUGGGCAAUGGGCGCAAGCCUGACCCAGCAACGCAGCGUGAAGGAAGAAGGCUUUCGGGUUGUAAACUUCUUUUCUCAGGGACGAAACAAGUAACGGUACCUGAGGAAUAAGCCUCGGCUAACUACGUGCCAGCAGCCGCGGUAAUACGUCGGUGGCAAGCGUUAUCCGGAUUUACUGGGUGUAAAGGGCGUGUAGGCGGGACGGCAAGUCAGAUGUGAAAACCACGGGCUCAACCUGUGGUCUGCAUUUGAAACUGUAGUUCUUGAGUACUGGAGAGGCAGACGGAAUUCCUGGUGUAGCGGUGAAAUGCGUAGAUAUUAGGAGGAACACCAGUGGCGAAGGCGGUCUGCUGGACAGCAACUGACGCUGAGGCUCGAAAGCGUGGGGAGCAAACAGGAUUAGAUACCCGAGUAGUC
rnacentral:rRNA from 1 species